UACGAACUGCGUGAACGUUAUUCGGAAUCGCUGGGCUUACAGGGUGCGUAGGCGGCCAGCCAGGUCCGAUGUGAAAUCCCACGGCUCAACCGUGGAAUGGCAUUGGAAACCGGCCGGCUGGAGUGAGCUAGAGGUGCAUGGAACUUCCGGUGGAGCGGUGAAAUGUGUUGAGAUCGGAAGGAACACCAGAGGCGAAAGCGAUGCACUGGGGCUUGUCUGACGCUGAGGCACGAAAGCCAGGGGAGCGAACGGG
rnacentral:rRNA from 1 species